CGUUCCCUGGUGAUGGUAAUUGGUCAGAUGAUGAAGCCCAUCCAUCCAUUCUUCUACCGCUUGUCCCUCUAGGGAUCGCGGGGGGUGCUGGAGCCUAUCCCAGCUGUAUUCGGGCGAAAAGCGGGGUACACCCUGGACAAGUCGACACCUCAUCACAGGGCCACUUCAACCAAUUGGUUCAAGAAAGUGUUUCGGAACCAUAAACCACCUGGUGGCCAACUAUAUAAUUACAAACAGUUGUAUGUUUGUAAUUUGACAACAUGGUCGAUAUGGCAGGCGUUCCCCUCAGGCUGCGGUCGCGCCUUUGCGCAGCCGCAGAGAAUCAACAAUCAACACACCUGCCCGUGAAGAGAGACCUGCCUUCAUAAGCCAGCGCAUCCUGAGAUCCAGUGCCAUAACGUAGCUACUCGCACCAGUACACUUCCUGUCUUCCUUCCCCGUUGUCGAGCUGUGUGUCUCUUCUUCCCGAAUCCCCUCUGGACUCUCUGCUGCCUCUCUGGAUCUCAACCUCACGCCUGCCCUUUGACCACAACGCCUCGCUCCAGCUCUUGACCUUCUGCCUGUCUUUGGACUUCCAAGCCCGCCUUUCCCUGUUUGGACUUCCGCCUCGAUUCCAACACGCACCUUCAACACCCUCUGGUAACCACUCACAUAUACUUACCUCACAUAGUCACACUACAUUCAUUUGGAUUACGCACACACCUCACGUACAUUCCUGUCUGUCAAUAAACACGCUGACAGCUAACGACGUCACUGUCUCCCUGCCGUCUCCUU